UUAAUGCUUAGCCUGUGUCCAA
rnacentral:sRNA from 1 species